CCUACGGGUGACAGCAGUGAGGAAUAUUGGUCAAUGGUCGGGAGACUGAACCAGCCAAGCCGCGUGAGGGAGGAAGGUACAGAGUAUCGUAAACCUCUUUUGUCAGGGAACAAAGACUGGGACGCGUCCCCGGAUGAGUGUACCUGAAGAAAAAGCAUCGGCUAACUCCGUGCCAGCAGCCGCGGUAAUACGGAGGAUGCGAGCGUUAUCCGGAUUUAUUGGGUUUAAAGGGUGCGCAGGCGGCCUGUUAAGUCAGCGGUAAAAUUGAGAGGCUCAACCUCUUCGAGCCGUUGAAACUGGUUUUCUUGAGGGAGCGAGAGGUAUGCGGAAUGCGUGGUGUAGCGGUGAAAUGCAUAGAUAUCACGCAGAACUCCGAUUGCGAAGGCAGCAUACCGGCGCUCAACUGACGCUCAUGCACGAAAGUGUGGGUAUCGAACAGGAUUAGAUACCCCGGUAGUC
rnacentral:rRNA from 1 species